AUUGAACGCUGGCGGCAGGCCUAACACAUGCAAGUCGAACGAGUGGCGGACGGGUGAGUAAUGUCUGGGAAACUGCCUGAUGGAGGGGGAUAACUACUGGAAACGGUAGCUAAUACCGCAUACCAUCGGAUGUGCCCAGAUGGGAUUAGCUAGUAGGUGGGGUAAAGGCUCACCUAGGCGACGAUCACUAGCUGGUCUGAGAGGAUGACCACGAACCCUGGAACUGAGACACUGUCCAGACUCCUAAGGGGCGCUGCAGUGGCGAACAUUGAACAAUGGGCGAAAGCCUGAUGCAGCCAUGCCGCGUGGAAUAAGAAGGCCUUCGGGUUGUAAAGUACUUUCAGCGGGGAGGCGUUACCCGCAGAAGAAGCACCGGCUAACUCCGUGCCAGCCGCCUCGGUAAUAC
rnacentral:rRNA from 1 species